ACUAUUUGAUAAAAAUCUACAAAAGACUUUGUGCUCUGUUUCCCUCCACCGAUGAAUCGGAGAUUCAGCAAUGAGAGCCAGUGAUCUCUGAAACUGGUCAGAAGGAGGUAUUAAUUACUCAACUCUGCAGACAUGGAAGAAACUACAUGUUGGAACUAAACCGACAAUAUGUGUUUCUCUCUGCGGAUCAGCACAAUUUCAUAAAAACUAAAAUGAUUCAAGCAGAUGUUCAUCAUGGAACUGCCAGCAAAAGGCUGAGAAUCACAAAGAUAAAUUCUAGUCCAGUGUUUGGAAAUCUCCCGAUCAUACUCAAGCAUCUUUUGAAGCUUUGGAAAGAAUCUACAAAGAAUGACAAACAUAAUUUGGGAGACUGUCAUAAACCUUGAUUAUCGAUGUAAUAACACGACAGCACGACUAACACUAGAAGAGUUCCAAAGAUCAAGGGAAGAGAAGAAAACAUCGACGAGGAUCAAAAAAUUUACUAAAUGUUGAUCAGUGGAAUACAUUCCUUCUAGAAGAUUUCAUAGAUCCCUCCCUUCUAUUUCUCUAAAAUCAUCUCAUUCUCUAUGAAUCACCCCCCUCCCCCGCCACCACCACCGCACUGCCCCCUGUUCUGGUCACAUGAUCUGCUUUUACUUUGAACAUGACAAACUUCGCCCAACCUCAUGUCCCUAGAUAACAAUGUUUCCUAUGCCACCAAGAGUCUUCCAUCUCCUCUGCUUGCCUAGCUUUUUUCCAUUUUUAGUUUUAGUUUAAAAUAUUAUCCUGGCCAUUUAUGUUUCCCAUUAAAGGAAACGUGAAGCAUCCCAAUGCUACCCCAUGGCUACUGACUGACAUUCUUUUUUAACUCAGCUAUCCUUAUAUUGGUUCUCUGCAGAACACAUACCAAAAUUUGCAGUUAUUUUAUUUUUAAGACUAGAAAUUAAUUUCAAAGCUAGAAGUUAAGCUCCAUAAGGGAAGGGACAGUAUCUCUCCAGUGUUCUCACUGUUGUGAACCUAUGACCUCCUAGGGGAACUGGCAUAUGGUAGGCACAAGAUAAACAAUGGUUGAUUAAUGAUUCUGUCCUAAGGUUACCUUUUACAAGCAUAGCAUGUUUCCCCAACUAUACGUGAAAUUCUGGCUUAAUGUUCACCAUAAACCCACUGGGUGGCUGCCAGAGAUUAUGGAGAACAAAUAUCCAGCUUUUUUGUUUACUGUAGAGACCUUACCAAAACUGGCAGACUAGCAAAUAUUCUAAACGUCAGAGGGGGAGUCAGAUACUAAGCUGCCAGAGGCCUCCAGAGGUAUGCUUACAAGAGCCAAGGGUCUUCAUACCGGGAUUAAUUGCAUACAAGGUCUAGGGAAGAGCUCUAGUUAAGAAAAAUAAGCAAAUUUGUUCAUCAGUGAUUUCUGAGCUCCUGCUGAGCAUCUAUCAAGAAACUAC